GAUGGACGCUAGCGGCAGGCCUAAUACAUGCAAGUCGAACGGUGUCUUCGGACAUAGUGGCGCACGGGUGCGUAACACGUAUGCAACCUACCUUACAUUGGGGGAUAGCCUUUCGAAAGGGAGAUUAAUACCGCAUAAGACAGUAGCUGGGCAUCCAGCAGCUGUCAAAGAUUUAUCGAUGUAAGCUGGGCAUGCGUCCAAUUAGCUAGUUGGUGAGGUAACGGCUCACCAAGGCAAUGAUUGGUAGGGGAACUGAGAGGUCAAUCCCCCACACGGGCAUUUAGAUACGGGCCAGAUUCGUACGGGAGGCAGCAGUAGGGAAUAUUGGGCAAUGGACGCAAGUCUGACCCAGCCAUGCCGCGUGCAGGAUGAAGGCGUUAUGCGUUGUAAACUGCUUUUAUACAGGAAGAAACGACUCUUGCGAGAGGCAUUGACGGUACUGUAUGAAUAAGCACCGGCUAACUCCGUGCCAGCCGCCGCAGUAAAAC
rnacentral:rRNA from 1 species